CAUUUGGAGAAUGGGAGUUUUGAUGUGAUAGUGGCUGUCCUACCACUGCAUUUAGCAGAUAAUCAGAAGACAAAGAUGGAAUUCAUACAUUGCACAUCAUUGUUAUGUUUUGAUAACUGUUUUUAAGUCUUCUUUUUCUCCCUGUAGAAUGAAGCUGAUAGGACCUUGAUAUAUAUAACUCUCUACAUUUCUGAAUGUCUGAAGAAACUGCAAAAGUGCAAUUCCAAAAGCCAAGGUGAGAAAGAAAUGUAUACGCUGGGAAUCACUAAUUUUCCCGUUCCUGGAGAGCCUGGUUUUCCGCUUAACGCAAUUUAUGCCAAACCUGCAAACAAACAGGAAGAUGGUAAGAACAGGUCUCUAUCCUCACUCUGUGACACAAGAAGAUUUUCUCCACUUGACUUCCUACCACCCCUCUUUUUCUUGCCUUGAUUCAUGUACAGAUUGAGAGUGAAAUCAUAGGAAGUACAUUAUCUUAUUAGUCACUCUCACAAACGAUUCUUGGCAACAAGGAUGACAUGCAGAAAAUCUUUUGAACAAAAACAAAUGUAGUUAUAAAACUAUCUGGACUGUCAUUUCUAUUUUGUAUCCUGUUCAAAUGUAUAAAAAUGUAUUACCACAGUGAGCAUCCAGAACUGCAACCAGUACAUUUGGGAUGUAUUUGCAAAUACAGUUUUUUUUAAAUUGUUCUGUUUUAGAAGUGAUGAGAGCCUAUUUACAACAGCUAAGGCAAGAGACUGGACUGAGACUUUGUGAGAAAGUUUUCGACCCUCAGAAUGAUAAACCCAGCAAGUGGUGGACUUGCUUUGUGAAGAGACAGUUCAUGAACAAGAGUCUUUCAGGACCUGGACAGUGAAGGGAGCCCGGGCAGCCACCGUCUCCAGAGGCCUGGGCAGCAUUUUCCAGCAAGAUGUACACAAUCUUUUGCCUUUAUUUCGUAAAGUUUUAUACAGAAGAGAGAAGAGCAUGUCUUUAUUUGAAAAACUCUUGAUCAAGAAUUUGGGUGGGAGAAAAGAAAGUGGGUUAUCAAGGGUGAUUUGAAAUUUUCUGCAGCAUUAAGCUGGCGCUUAAUAAGAAUAAGUAAUAAUAAAGAAAUUUCU
rnacentral:sRNA from 1 species